rnacentral:lncRNA from 1 species
GAGGAUUUGGCUUUGUUACCUUCAAGGAUGAAAAAUCCAUGAAGGAAGCAAUCUCAGGGAUGAACGGUUCGGAGCUUGAUGGCCGUAACAUCACUGUUAACGAAGCCCAGGCCCGUGGAAGUGGUGGUGGUGGUGGUGGUGGCGGUUUCGGUGGUGGCAGACGCCGUGAAGGUGGUGGCGGCGGUUACGGAGGAGGUGGCGGCUACGGAGGCGGCGGCGGUGGCGGCUAUGGAGGUGGCAGACGUGAAGGAGGUGGUGGUGGCGGCUAUGGAGGUGGCCGACGUGAAGGUGGUGGCGGAGGAGGUUACGGUGGUGGUGGAUAUGGCGGUGGUGCCCGUUAUUAGUUUGAUAGCUCUGAAUUAGGCCUAUGGUUUAGGUGAGAAGUUCC